rnacentral:misc_RNA from 1 species
GAUGAAGAACGCAGUGAAAUGCGAUAAGUAGUGUGAAUUGCAGAAUUCAGUGAAUCAUCGAAUCUUUGAACGCACAUUGCGCCCCUUGGUAUUCCGGGGGGCAUGCCUGUCCGAGCGUCAUUGCUGCCCUCAAGCACGGCUUGUGUGUUGGGCCUCCGUCCUCCUCCCGGGGGACGGGCCCGAAAGGCAGCGGCGGCACCGCGUCCGGUCCUCGAGCGUAUGGGGCUUCGUCACCCGCUCUUGUAGGCCCGGCCGGCGCUUGCCGACACAUCAAUCUUUUUUCCAGGUUGACCUCGGAUCAGGUAGGGAUACCCGCUGAACUUAAGCAUAUCAAUAAGCGGAGGA